rnacentral:tRNA from 1 species
CGGGAAGUAGCUCAGCUUGGUAGAGCACAUGGUUUGGGACCAUGGGGUCGCAGGUUCGAAUCCU